UAUUCACUCAUGUUUAAAAAUUUGCACCUGUCAAUUCCUUCUUCUCCUCCUACCAUGCCCCGUUAUAAAUGUUAUAUUAUCAUAUAAAUAUGUGUGUUAUAGAAAUUAGGUAAAAAAAAUGACUUGCAAAAUAAAAAAUUUAAUAAUCCAUUUGUAUUCAAGUUACAAAACUUUAAUUUUAAUUUUGAUUUUGAUUGAGGAAAAUAAAAAAAAAAAAAAUGUACGCUGCACAGGUGAAAUAUGAGGCAUGUCAGAGAUGAAUCAGUCAAAUGCAAAAUUAGUAUUUUUUUAUAUAUAUAUAUAUAUAUAUAUAUAUAUCGGUUGCUAAAACAGAGAAGCCUCCACAUUGCUAGGCUUCCCGAUGAUGCAAGAAUUGCAAUCUCUCAGUUGAGACCGGAUCUCCUCCCAUUUCUUGCAAAGUGCAGUUCGUUCUCGAAGAUUUUCCAAUUUCAGGGUUUUCUGGGGAGAGAAUGGAUUUGGAUCUUACAAGAGGGACGGAGAGAGUGGAUUCUAGGUGUUGUCUGCCACUUUGAGGAUGGACUUCUUAGUACUUAAAGGCCCGCCCCCCGUUUUUUUUUUUUUUUUUCCUUUCCUGCUCUUUGAUCCCUCUGCUGAGUGUCUCUAUAAUGACCCUUAGUCCAUAUCCAAAGCAACGAGCAAUUUUCAAAAGAAACAUAGAAGCAUAGCAAUCCCGAUAAAAUCCUUAAAGAAAAUUUCACGUGCAAUGCACGUGUAUAUCUACCUAGGCGGUUGGAGCUUGGCCACCAUGUCCAGUGGCUACCCCAAAAAUGGUGAUCUCUUGGCAUCUUUGCUUUUUGAAGCUGGAGUUAUAAGGCUUCUCAUUUUGGUCCCAGUGUUCCAUCUCAAGCGAUUAUUAUCAUAGCCAUUUGAAAUUCAAGUUCAUAAUCAAAGGGUUUUUCGACAA